rnacentral:rRNA from 1 species
GAUGAACGCUGGCGGCGUGCCUAAUACAUGCAAGUCGAGCGAACGGACUUGAAACUUGCUUCGCUGAUGUUAGCGGCGAACGGGUGAGUAACACGUGGGUAACCUACCUAUAAGAGUGGGAUAACUUCGGGAAACGGGUGCUAAUACCGGAUAAUAUUUUUAAACACAUGGUUCAAAAGUGAAAGACGGUCUUGCAUUCACCUAUAAAUGUAUCCGCGCUUAAUUAGCUAGUUGGUAAGGAAACGGCUUACCAAGGGAACAUUGCUAAGCCGACCUGGGAGGUGGACCGGCCAAACUGGAACGAGACCACGGUCCAAAUCCCUACGGGAGGCAGAAGUAGGGAUUCUUGCGCAUUGGCCGAAGUCCUGCCGGAGAAACGCGGCGUGAUGGAGGAAGUUUUUCGGAUCGUAAACCUCUGUUAUUAGGGAAGACCAUAUGUGUAAGUAACUGUGCACAUCUUGACGGUAACUAAUCAGAAAGCCACGGCUAACUACGUG